AUACGGAGGGUGCGAGCGUUGUUCGGGAAUUAUUGGGCGUAAAGCGCGUGUAGGCGGUUUGUUAAGUCUGAUGUGAAAGCCCCGGGCUCGAACCUGGGAAGUGCAUUGGAUACUGGCAGACUUGAAUACGGGAGAGGGCAGUGGAAUUCCUGGUGUAGGAGUGAAAUCCGUAGAUAUCAGGAGGAACACCGGUGGCGAAGGCGGCUGCCUGGACCGAUAUUGACGCUGAGACGCGAAAGCGUGGGUAGC
rnacentral:rRNA from 1 species